AGUGGUGUAGAGGUUGGGUGAGAACGGGACGUUUUGCAUCAUUAUCAAGAAGUCGUACAUAAUGGCAAGGAUUAGGCGAAAGAAAUCAGUCGAGUGAACAUCUCCGGCACGGUAACAGCAACUGCAGUGCACCAUUUGUCACCAACUGCAUUCUUCGUCGAAUUGCUAGUCAAAUCAUGGCAAACUAUGGCGUCGUGCUGCAGUUGUGUGUUGCAUCGUUGAUGGCUGGGUCGGCCACUGGUGUACCGAUGUCUCCUGGGUAUGGCGGCUAACAAAUCGAAACGCCGCCACCUUACUACACAAGAUAUGCCGAGGCCCCCAAGUACUGCACCAAGGCUCCAGAUUAUUAUCCUACUACUUAUGCUGCCCUGAGCUACUACACCGAAUCCCCACAGUAUUAUUCUUCCCCGAGCUACAAUACCAAAGGGUCGAUUACUACACCGAUGCUCCGAAGUACUACACCACCAAGACACCGGAGUACUGCACAACUACAUACAAUGAGAAAAGGCGAAAGAAAACCGUCGAGUGGUCAUCUCCGACACGGCAACAGUAACUGCAGUGCCAAGGCUCAGUAUUACACCACAAAUUAUGUUGCCCCGAGACUCUACCCCAAAGCGCCUGAGUGCUAUACCGAGGGCACUAAUUUCUACACCACCAAGGCACCGGAGUACUACACUGCAACAUACCCUGCUCCAGAUUAUUACAACGAGGCUCCCCAACACUACACCACCAAGGCACUGGAGUACUACACCACUACAUAUCAUGUAGAGGAAAGGUGAAAGAAUUCAGCAGCCGAGUGAGCAUCUCCGUUACAGCAACAGGAACUACCGUGCAGUAUUUGAUCAACUUCAUCCUUCUUCGCAUUACAAGUUUUAAAUAAAGUAAACUAUGGCGUCGUGCUGCUGUUGGGCGUUAUAUCGUUGAUGGAUGGAUCGACCACUGGUGUGCUGAUUUCUCCUGGGUAUGGCGGGCGUGAAUAAUCCGUAGCAACCGGUUACUACACUGGGGCCCCCAAAUACUACACCACCAAGGCUCCAGAGUAUUACACCACAACUUAUGCUGCCCCAAUGUUACUACGCAGAUGCUCCGAAGUAUUUUUCUUCCUCGAGCUUCACUACCUUCACCACGCCGCUUACUAAUUAACAACGUCAACACCUACUUACUAUACGAAGGUCUCCAGUACUACGCCACAAAAGCUCCUGACUACUACACCGAGGACCUAACUUGUCACACCACUGAAGCGCCCAAGUAUUGCACUACAACCUACGUUUCUCCAGCUUACACCACGAUGGCAGCGGAGUACUACACCACGAUGGCAGCGGAGUACUACACCACGAUGGCAGCGGAGUACUACACCACGAUGGCAGCGGAGUACUACACCACGAUGGCAGCGUGGUGACGAGUCAGAGUGGUGAUGAUUCUUCAGUAUCCUGCGCUGUGACAUGUCUGUUUCAUAUUUUGGAGGUGACUAUUGCCUUAGUCGAUCUGCAUACGGACAUGUUCUUGUGUUUUGACGAUGUUACAAGGGUAGGUUACGAAAGGAAGUUGUAACUGUUGAUUUGGGUAAGUCUUAUAAGUAAAAGGCAAGUGGAUGAAUUUUGUAUAAAUGAAAGAAUUUGAAGUUGAGAAAAAUAUAUUGGAACAAUUCCUAAA
rnacentral:misc_RNA from 1 species